rnacentral:misc_RNA from 1 species
AAGUCGUAACAAGGUUUCCGUAGGUGAACCUGCGGAAGGAUCAUUACUGAGUGGCUGGCGCCGCCUCUGCGUUGCGAGAGCGCGCGGGGGGGGAGAGCGGUUACCCGACCUUUUGUCAUUUGGGCUGGCGGCUGUUUUCCAGGCUGGGGGCUUCUGGGCUGGGGUUCCCGAGUGGGAGGACCAGACUGGGGGGUUCCAGGGUGGAGACAGGCGGCGGCAUGUUCAGGUUCGGCGGAGGAGGCAGGGGCUGGCCGAGGUUGACCGGAUGGAUGGAAAGAUCGAUCGGGUUGACUGCGGGAGAGGCGACCUGCCCGCCGCCGGUGGGAUUAGCAACUCUUUGUUAGCAAGGUGAAGUCUGAGGAAGCAAGAAAACGAAAAAGCAAAACUUUCAACAACGGAUCUCUUGGCUCUG